UACUUUUUUUUUUUUUUUUUUUGUCGAAACGGUAGAAUUUUUAUAAUCUAAUUUAUUCUAAUUUAAGGGGAAGGGGAGGGAGAUUCGAUAUGAGUAGAGACUCCAUCGAAAAAAAUCAAUUAAAACUGCCAGCUAAAAUGACAAUUUGGUGGGAGGCAAGAGUUGAACCCUAUCUCCCACCUCACCAAGAGUGGUGGUGGCCAUUGAGCUAGAGAUCUGUGGUUCCAGUGCGCACUCCAAUCCCACUGAAUAUGGCAAGCUGGGGAAAAAAAAAAGAGAGGAAAAAGCAACGUUACAAAUGAUUACUAGAAGGUAGUGAGCGCUUUAACAGAAUUUAGGUGCUGCAUUUGACAGGAUGUUGGGUCCAAAAAAGAGAGUUGAUCAUAAUGCCAUGGUCCUUUGUCAAUGAUUUUAAUCACUUUCGGGGUUCAAUCUUUGGGUUCGACAUAAUUGACUUGGAUGGGACAUGAUACAAAUUACUUGCACAUUAUUAUUGUUAUUAUGAGAGUCUCUCCAGCCUCCGUACAAUUAAUUAUAUAUGAAAUCAGGACCAAACCUAACUUCAGCAGAUGCUAAACUGUGCAACAACUGCUUUAACCUGGAAAAGAAAAACAAACUGUCUAUCCACCCCUCAAAGCACAUUUACUGAAGGCCGCACAGCAAUGAAAAUAGCUGGAUAUGAAUGCUCGAACCAAUCCAUUGGUUAUCUUGCCUUGCAGUUCUGGAUUCUCCUCCCCAUCUCUCCCGAAGACAUGGAAGCCCGGGGGGAGGGGGUUCUGGUGACCGAGGGGUUCUGCCUCAGAGGUUACAAAGAAAGAAAAUCAUUACAUCCAGUUACACAUUUGCUAAACCACUGGACCAAUGGCUCAGUGACCACCAGAGAGGGGCUUAAAUCCCUCCUUGGACUGUAGGCGGUGAGGAUUCAAUCCUUACCUGCAGCGAAAAAAAUCUAAAAAUUUUGUUACAACACUCUCUUGGUCUAGUUGGAUCUAUAUACCCACUAACCCCCUACCACAACUUCCUUAGGCUCCCCCUCCCCCCUAGAUUAGGAUAAAAUAGGUUAUACAAAUGUAUCGUUGCUGACAAAAAAAAAAAAUUACACAUUUGCUAAGAAUUAAAAUCACUGAGGCACAAAUUAACCAUUGAUCUAAAAUUUCAAAUGACGUGAACAUUCUCCGUUGUCUACUCGAUUUUAACACAAUAGUAAAAGAAGGCACAAGCAGAUCCGUCCAAAGAUUGCAUAAAGAUGAUAAUUUUUUUAAGACUCAAUAAUGAUCUGAAAUAGUCCACCAAGUUCCAGGGAAAGAACUGAGGACAUCCCGCUAGAAAUACAUCAGAUGACUAAUCAAGAACUUCAAGGCAUAAUUCCCUGAAUUGCCAUGUCAUUGCCCAAGGCAAAAAGCAGUUACAUAACUCAUAGAUCAAUGACACGAGAGAGCUUCUGAAUACGAUUCAACAAGAAAUCUCCCUGCUUGAUGGU
rnacentral:lncRNA from 1 species